rnacentral:rRNA from 1 species
GACGAACGCUGGCGGCGUGCUUAACACAUGCAAGUCGAACGGACAGGCCCUGCUUUUGUGGGGUGCUCGAGUGGCGAACGGGUGAGUAACACGUGUGUAACCUGCCCUUGUCAUUGGGGUAACUUCAGGAAACUGGGGCUAAUACCGGAUAGGAGCUCCUGCUGCAUGGUGGGGGAUGGAAAGUUUCGGCGGUUGGGGAUGGACUCGAGGCUUAUCAGCCUGUUGGUGGGGUAGUGGCUUACCAAGGCUUUGACGGGUAGCCGGCCUGAGAGGGUGACCGGCCACAUUGGGACUGAGAUACGGCCCAGACUCCUACGGGAGGCAGCAGUGGGGAAUAUUGCACAAUGGGCGGAAGCCUGAUGCAGCAACGCCGCGUGCGGGAUGACGGCCUUCGGGUUGUAAACCGCUGUCGCCUGUGACGAAGCGUGAGUGACGGUAAUGGGUAAAGAAGCACCGGCUAACUACGUG